rnacentral:lncRNA from 10 species
GCUGUGCCAAGUUUCCGGAGGCUGUCCUGGUAUAGAUGUCAGCAAGCUCAGGCUUCUGCAGGCAAAGAGAUCUCAUCUUACCUUGUCUGAAUCCAUUAAUAAUGUCCCAGUCCCACUUAGCCCUCCCAGUGGCCUGAGGUGCAGUUCUGUGAGAAUAACCACUUGGUUUUAGUGGCUAUGAAGGGUUUGCAAUCACAUGGGUGAGCUGGCAUUUCAGAGCAUGAAAGAAAAUGAAACCAGCUCAAUCUCCCCAUAGAGACAAUAUUUAUAAGUUUUUUAAUAAAAGAAGAAAUCAACCCUCCUGGUCUUAAAAUUUGAAAUUUACAUUUGUCUCAUCUGAGUUCCUUCCCCAGGAAACCCACCCUCAGGCACGGAACUGAAACUCACCAGAUCACCGCAUCCAGAGGAUGAGAUCCCAGACCCCUCACUCAGCAGCAUUGCUUCCCUACUGCUUCCUAACUUCUUCCUGCAGUUUUCUUCAUGGUUUUCUGCAAAACAUCAG